rnacentral:rRNA from 1 species
GUCGAGAAUAAUUCACAAUGGACGAAAGUCUGAUGGUGCAACGCCGCGUGGAGGAUGACGGUCUUCGGAUUGUAAACUCCUGUCAUCCGGGAGUAAGACCUGGCUGUGAAUAGCAGACAGGGUUGAUAGUACCGGAAGAGGAAGGGACGGCUAACUUCGUGCCAGCAGCCGCGGUAAUACGAAGGUCCCGAGCGUUGUUCGGAAUCACUGGGCGUAAAGGGAGCGUAGGCGGCGUGGUAAGUCAGAUGUGAAAUCCCGGGGCUCAACCCCGGAACUGCAUCCGAUACUGCCGUGCUAGAGGAUUGGAGAGGUAGCUGGAAUUCUUGGUGUAGCAGUGAAAUGCGUGGAGAUCAAGAGGAACACUCGUGGCGAAAGCGAGCUACUGGACAAUAUCUGACGCUGAGGCUCGAAGGCCAGGGUAGCGAAAGGGAUUAGAUACCCGGGUAGUCC